rnacentral:rRNA from 1 species
UACGUAGGGGGCAAGCGUUGUCCGGAAUCAUUGGGCGUAAAGAGCGUGUAGGCGGCCAGAUAAGUCCGCUGUGAAAACUCGAGGCUCAACUUCGAGCUGUCGGCGGAAACUAUCUGGCUAGAGUCCGGAAGAGGAGAGUGGAAUUCCUGGUGUAGCGGUGGAAUGCGCAGAUAUCAGGAGGAACACCGGUGGCGAAGGCGGGUCUCUGGGCAGUAACUGACGCUGAGGAGCGAAAGCGUGGGGAGCGAACAGG